GCGGGGGUUGCCGAGCGGCCAAAGGCGCGAGGUUCAGGCCCUCGUCCCGUAGGGGUUCGUGGGUUCGAAUCCCACCCCCCGCACCA
rnacentral:tRNA from 1 species